UACGUAGGGUGCGAGCGUUAAUCGGAAUUACUAGGCGUAAAGCGUGCGCAGGCGGUUUGUUAAGACAGAUGUGAAAUCCCCGGGCUUAACCUGGGAACUGCAUUUGUGACUGGCAAGCUAGAGUAUGGCAGAGGGGGGUAGAAUUCCACGUGUAGCAGUGAAAUGCGUAGAGAUGUGGAGGAAUACCGAUGGCGAAGGCAGCCCCCUGGGCCAAUACUGACGCUCAUGCACGAAAGCGUGGGGAGCAAACAGG
rnacentral:rRNA from 1 species